rnacentral:rRNA from 1 species
GACGAACGCUGGCGGCGUGCUUAACACAUGCAAGUCGAACGGAAAGGCCCUGCUUUUGUGGGGUGCUCGAGUGGCGAACGGGUGAGUAACACGUGAGUAACCUGCCCUUGACUUUGGGAUAACUUCAGGAAACUGGGGCUAAUACCGGAUAGGAGCUCCUGCUGCAUGGUGGGGGUUGGAAAGUUUCGGCGGUCGGGGAUGGACUCGCGGCUUAUCAGUUUGUUGUUGGGGUAGUGGCUUACCAAGGAUUUGACGGGUAGCCGGCCUGGGAGGGAGACCGGCCACAUUGGGACUAAGAUACGGCCCAGACUCCUACAGGAGGCAGCAGUGGGGAAUAUUGCACAAUGGGCGGAAGCCUGAUGCAGCAACGCCGCGUGCGGGAUGACGGCCUUCGGGUUGUAAACCGCUUUCGCCUGUGACGAAGCGUGAGUGACGGUAAUGGGUAAAGAAGCACCGGCUAACUACGUG